rnacentral:tRNA from 1 species
GGGCGGUUAGCUCAGUUGGUAGAGCAUCUCCCUUACAAGGAGGAGGUCGUUGGUUCGAGCCCAAUACUGCCCACCA